CCUCCCCACCCAGCCCUCUCCUGUAGGCAGCCCUGCACCGACCAGGAUGACCAAGGACACAGGGCUGGGGCCCUCACCUGACACCUCGAGCUGCAGGGGGUCACUGCGCCAUGACCACAGCCUACAUCAGGUUGAGAGGACGUCCCCCUCCCAGAAACAGGAGCUGGCACAGCGUGCACUCAGUGGCAUUCACAGUAAAGCUGCAGAAAUGGAACGACCCACACAGCUUCGCCUCAGGAGGAAGCUGGCACCAUGCAGCCUCCAGCCCCGCCCGCCCCAGGGCUCUGUGGGCUCCCAGCCCUGGGUGUUUCUGGGAACGGUGCUAUGCGGGGCCCUUUGUGUGUGGCUGCACCUCCUGCCUCACGCAUCCUCACUUCAUGGCUUCCUGGGGCUCUGCAGAGUUCCCACAGAGCCAGGGACCCACCUCCCUGAGCCCCGCAUCCCCGGUGCACAUCUGGCUCCUGUCCCUGGCUGGCCGUGCUUGGACAGAUGCCUGUGUGCACCAUCCCUGGAUGGGUAUUCAGAGCUUCCCCCUGGGCCCUCGGCUGUGAGAACGCUCCACAGAGCCUGCACUCAGCACACUGCCGUCCAUGGUGCACAGUUCUGCAGUUUUGGGGAUGAUCAAUUCAGCCACUUUCUCCUUUGUUCCUUGUACUUUUGCCAACAACAAAGAUGCUG